CCUACGGGAGGCAGCAGUGGGGAAUAUUGGACAAUGGGCGAAAGCCUGAUCCAGCAAUGCCGCGUGAGUGAUGAAGGCCUUAGGGUCGUAAAGCUCUUUUACCAGGGAUGAUAAUGACAGUACCUGGAGAAUAAGCUCCGGCUAACUCCGUGCCAGCAGCCGCGGUAAUACGGAGGGAGCUAGCGUUGUUCGGAAUUACUGGGCGUAAAGCGUACGUAGGCGGUUAUUCAAGUCAGAGGUGAAAGCCCGGGGCUCAACCCCGGAACGGCCUUUGAAACUAGAUAGCUAGAGUCUUGGAGAGGUCAGUGGAAUUCCGAGUGUAGAGGUGAAAUUCGUAGAUAUUCGGAAGAACACCAGUGGCGAAGGCGACUGACUGGACAAGUACUGACGCUGAGGUACGAAAGCGUGGGGAGCAAACAGGAUUAGAUACCCUGGUAGUCCACGCCGUAAACGAUGAUAACUAGCUGUCCGGGUACUUGGUAUCUGGGUGGCGCAGCUACGACAUUAAGUUAGUUCCGUCCGUCGGGUAGGUACGGUCGUCGAGAAGUAAACUAACAACUAGUAAGUUAGUACGGCGUGAGACGUACGCCGACGGACGACGACGAGGGAGUAGGAG
rnacentral:rRNA from 1 species